rnacentral:lncRNA from 1 species
UAAGUUUCCAAGAACAGGGAGUAGGAUUCUGGUGGUCCACGAUUCAUUAGAAAAGAUAUGUUACUGGCCAGUCAGAACUCAGAAUCCUGUGUCAGUCCACGAAAGCAGACCUUCCACUCUUCCAGAUUCUUCCGGCGGCUCUAAGUCUUCUGAUUGGUGUGUGCUUAACUUAGCCUAAACCUCCUUACUCUACCUGAUUAUACCCAGCAGCCCACAUGUCGCCACGUCAUCACAUCAUGAUGAGGUUAGCGGUAGUCGCCUUCCCUCUGUUCAAGAAGGAUGCUUUCAGCCCUUUCAAGUUUUCAAGCU